rnacentral:rRNA from 1 species
AGCGGUGUGCCUAAUACAUGCAAGUCGAGCGGACAGUAUGGGAGCUUGCUCCCUGAUGUUAGCGGCGGACGGGUGAGUAACACGUGGGUAACCUGCCUGUAAGACUGGGAUAACUCCGGGAAACCGGGGCUAAUACCGGAUGCUUGUUUGAACCGCAUGGUUCAAACAUAAAAGGUGGCUUCGGCUACCACUUACAGAUGGACCCGCGGCGCAUUAGCUAGUUGGUGAGGUAAUGGCUCACCAAGGCAACGAUGCGUAGCCGACCUGAGAGGGUGAUCGGCCACACUGGGACUGAGACACGGCCCAGACUCCUACGGGAGGCAGCAGUAGGGAAUCUUCCGCAAUGGACGAAAGUCUGACGGAGCAACGCCGCGUGAGUGAUGAAGGUUUUCGGAUCGUAAAGCUCUGUUGUUAGGGAAGAACAAGUACCGUUCGAAUAGGGCGGUACCUUGACGGUACCUAACCAGAAAGCCACGGCUAACUACGUGCCAGCAGCCGCGGUAAUACGUAGGUGGCAAGCGUUGUCCGGAAUUAUUGGGCGUAAAGGGCUCGCAGGCGGUUCCUUAAGUCUGAUGUGAAAGCCCCCGGCUCAACCGGGGAGGGUCAUUGGAAACUGGGGAACUUGAGUGCAGAAAAGGAGAGGUGGAAUUCCCCGUGUAGCGGUGAAAUGCGUAGAGAUGUG